ACAAGAGGCCCAUGUGGCGGAGAGCUGGUGUCUGCAGGUAACAGCCAGUGAAGCGGGCUGCCACGAGCCAGGAAUAUGGGCCUGAGGCAUGCAACCCCCUACUGCCCCCACCCUGGGAAAGCUUCUAGUUCUCUCUAUAACUGACAACUUCCAAUCCACACAUACCACCCAGUAUUUUGAGCUGCCUACACUAAAGUUCAUCAUUCCGGAGAGGUGCUCAUACUCUUUGAGUGUGGCCUCAGUCCGAUUCUACAACUAUAUGAAGUGCCUUCUUAAGCUCUGGAGGCAUGAUGUCCGGUUCCAGAGGAACAAAUAGUCCAGAAUCUGAUAAGGGAGGCUGGCAGGCUGGAAACUCAGGAAGGAGCAGCAGUUCAAGUCCAAAGGCAGUCUGCUGGCUCUCCCGGAAGACCCGGUGCUGUAGAUUUGUGAAGAAUCGUGAAGGCGGUCUGCUGGCAACCUGGGACUUCUAGAUCAGCUCUUAUUCCAUUCAGUCCUUCAACUGACUGGAUGAUGCCCAGCAACAUUACGGAGGGUAAUCUGCUCUACUCCAAGUCCGCCAAUUCAAGUGUAAAUCUCAUCCAAAAACACCUUCACAGAAACAACAGUCAUGUUGGCCGGAUUACGUGGGGACUGUGGACCAAUCAAGCUGACGAAUAAAAUAAACCAGCAUGGUGACCUUAGGCCACUUACUUAACCUCUUUGUGCCUCAGUAUUCUUGCCCAUAAAAUAGGAGGCCUUCAAGUCUGGGCACAGACUUCACAGGAUGACUGGGAGGAUUAACUAGGUUGACUUCUAAGUGAAGAGUGAGGAACAGUUCCUGCACAUAGUAAGCACUUUAUUACGGAUCGUUGGAAAAGAAAGGAAUUUUUGAGAUAUCAAGACUACUUUGAGAUCCAGAGAAGUGAAAUGACUUGCCACAAAUUGCAGAGUGUAUGAUGGAGAUACGAUAGCAUGGCGAAUGGCUUGCUACCGCACCCCUCCUCCCAAUUCCGCGUCUGUGAAUGUCAUGCUGGUGGCCUAAAAUCAGACACUGGAAGAGUAUUUACGCUACAGAACUUGGCAAAUGCCGCGUCUGAACACACUGACCAUCUUUUUCAAAUGACUAAACAGACAGCUGUGUGGCCUACCCAAAAUCCAUCUGAAGGCUGAAUGGGCCACCAGUGUCUGACCUCUGCCUUAAAGAAAUGCAUCUCUAAUGGAUGAAUCAUCUACUGCCCUGAGAGUGCUCUGUCGAGAGUAAGCAUUUGACAUAACCAUACAUCUGGUCAACCAUGAUCACCUUCAGGAACCACCAACAGUUUGCUGGUGAGACAAAAAGAAGGGAAUCAAAUUCGCCCUCAGUGGUGUUUGCGGUCGCCUAAACUGAGGACCCUUGAAGGUCCAGCUGAGGUCUCCUGUCCCACACAGCCUGCUAUUUGUACUGGCCAACAUAGAGCCACCACAGUCUCUGUGAAGAGCUGGCGUGGCUCCUUGACUGUGGCACCAGUGAGCAGGGAAGAGCAGACCCAGACAUUCAAUUAAAGUGCACUGGCACUUUUUAUGCAUUCCGCCUUUGCAUCUGCUUGAGACUUUGUUUAUUCAUUAGUGUCUUCUUUGUAG